rnacentral:misc_RNA from 1 species
AAUUCUCAAACCUUCUUGGUUUCUACGACCAAGAAGGCUUUGGACUUUGGAGGUCUUUUGCUGGCUUUGCGAAAAGUCAGCUCCUCUUAAAUGCAUUAGUGGGGUCCUCUUUGCGGGUCUCCAGGCGUUGAUAAGAUGUUUCUACGUCUUGGGACUUGCUCUGUUUAAUAGGAACUUGCUUCUAACCGUCUCACUAUAAGGAGACAUUGUUCGGGCUUUGCUCGACGCAUGAA